AGAGUUUGAUCCUGGCUCAGGAUGAACGCUAGCGACAGGCUUAACACAUGCAAGUCGAGGGGCAGCGAGGGCGUAGCAAUACGCCUGUCGGCGACCGGCGCACUGGUGAGUAACACGUAUGCGACCUGCCCCCUACAGGGGUAUAACCCGUAGAAAUGCGGACUAAUCCCCCAUAGUCCUGGAGGCUGCAUGGCAUUCAGGGGAAAGGCCAGCCGGUAGGGGAUGGGCAUGCGGCGCAUUAGCUAGUUGGCGGGGCAACGGCCCACCAAGGCGACGAUGCGUAGGGGUUCUGAGAGGAAGGUCCCCCACACUGGUACUGAGACACGGACCAGACUCCUACGGGAGGCAGCAGUGGGGAAUAUUGGGCAAUGGGGGAAACCCUGACCCAGCAACGCCGCGUGAAGGAAGAAGGCUUUCGGGUUGUAAACUUCUUUUACCACGGACGAAGAAAGUGACGGUACCUGGAGAAAAAGCCACGGCUAACUACGUGCCAGCAGCCGCGGUAAUACGUAGGUGGCAAGCGUUGUCCUGGAUUUACUGGGUGUAAAGGGCGUGUAGGCGGAGAUGCAAGUCAGAAGUGAAAUCCACGGGCUUAACUCGUGAACUGCUUUUGAAACUGCAUCCCUUGAGUAUCGGAGAGGCAGGCGGAAUUCCUAGUGUAGCGGUGAAAUGCGUAGAUAUUAGGAGGAACACCAGUGGCGAAGGCGGCCUGCUGGACGACAACUGACGCUGAGGCGCGAAAGCGUGGGGAGCAAACAGGAUUAGAUACCCUGGUAGUCCUCGCUGUAAACGAUGAAUACUAGGUGUGCGGGGACUGACCCCCCUGCGUGCCGCAGCUAACGCAAUAAGUAUUCCACCUGGGGAGUACGAUCGCAAGGUUGAAACUCAAAGGAAUUGACGGGGGCCCGCACAAGCAGUGGAGUAUGUGGUUUAAUUCGAAGCAACGCGAAGAACCUUACCUAGACUUGACAUGUCCUGAAUUACCAGUAAUGUGGGAAGUUCCUUCGGGAACAGGAACACAGGUGGUGCAUGGUUGUCGUCAGCUCGUGUCGUGAGAUGUUGGGUUAAGUCCCGCAACGAGCGCAACCCUUAUUGUUAGUUGGUACCAUUAAGUUGACCACUCUAGCGAGACUGCCCGGGUUAACCGGGAGGAAGGUGGGGAUGACGUCAAAUCAUCAUGCCCCUUAUGUCUAGGGCUACACACGUGCUACAAUGGCAAGUACAAAGAGAAGCAAUACUGUGAAGUGGAGCAAAACUCAAAAACUUGUCUCAGUUCGGAUUGUAGGCUGAAACUCGCCUACAUGAAGCUGGAGUUGCUAGUAAUCGCGAAUCAGAAUGUCGCGGUGAAUACGUUCCCGGGUCUUGCACACACCGCCCGUCA
rnacentral:rRNA from 1 species